rnacentral:rRNA from 1 species
AGAGUUUGAUCCUGGCUCAGAUUGAACGCUGGCGGCAUGCCUUACACAUGCAAGUCGAACGGCAGCACGGGAGCAAUCCUGGUGGCGAGUGGCGAACGGGUGAGUAAUAUAUCGGAACGUGCCCAGUCGUGGGGGAUAACGCAGCGAAAGCUGUGCUAAUACCGCAUACGAUCUCUGGAUGAAAGCGGGGGACUCGCAAGGGCCUCGCGCGAUUGGAGCGGCCGAUAUCAGAUUAGCUAGUUGGCGGGGUAAAGGCCCACCAAGGCGACGAUCUGUAGCUGGUCUGAGAGGACGACCAGCCACACUGGAACUGAGACACGGUCCAGACUCCUACGGGAGGCAGCAGUGGGGAAUUUUGGACAAUGGGCGCAAGCCUGAUCCAGCAAUGCCGCGUGCAGGAUGAAGGCCUUCGGGUUGUAAACUGCUUUUGUACGGAACGAAACGGCUCUUUCUAAUAAAGGGGGCUAAUGACGGUACCGUAAGAAUAAGCACCGGCUAACUACGUGCCAGCAGCCGCGGUAAUACGUAGGGUGCGAGCGUUAAUCGGAAUUACUGGGCGUAAAGCGUGCGCAGGCGGUGAUGUAAGACAGAUGUGAAAUCCCCGGGCUCAACCUGGGACCUGCAUUUGUGACUGCAUCGCUAGAGUACGGCAGAGGGGGAUGGAAUUCCGCGUGUAGCAGUGAAAUGCGUAGAUAUGCGGAGGAACACCGAUGGCGAAGGCAAUCCCUGGGCCUGUACUGACGCUCAUGCACGAAAGCGUGGGGAGCAAACAGGAUUAGAUACCCUAGUAGUCC